GUCUAUGGGUAUACCACUAUGAAUGUGUCCAAUCUUGGAAGCUAAGUAGGGUUGGGCAUGGUUGGUACUUGGACGUGAGAGGGGAAAGAUUGGCAUACUAUUGAUU
rnacentral:rRNA from 1 species